rnacentral:misc_RNA from 1 species
AGAUCUCCUUGCUAGAGCCCUGGCCGGAGUCAUUAUGUGCUUUGAUGUGGGCAAGGAACAUACACUGUACUCUCACAUGUACGGCAGGUUUGAAAAUGUCAUGAUAUUGGGAGCGCCUGCAAGCGUUCAGUUCACUCCCAGUUUCCUGAGGUGUAUGAUACAGGCUGCACAAGGUUGUUUCAUAGCAGGCAACAUUGUGGUGGCGGCUAAGGCCAGCAAUCUGUUCAUUCAUUGCAUGGCCAUCUGUGACAUGGUGCCUUCGAUCAACCAAGCGUCUCCAUUGCAGGUUCUGGCCUUAUUGUCGGCCGUCUUGUCAGCCCCAGGUAUGUGGCCACCCAAUAUCACAAAUCUGAUAGCUACCUGUCAGAUUGUUUGAUGAAAGGCAUGCUGGAAUUUAGAUUGAAUUUUCUGACUUUCUAGGCAGUGGAGUCUUACAUGCUGGAGACAUUCAGUGCAAUGGUCAAAUGCAGCUGGGCCUGUGUUGACCAACCUAUGCAAACUGUUAAACACAAUGGCGGAUAGGUCCACACUAGUUCACCGAUGAAAGAAAUUCAGUCGAGAACCGUUUGUUCUGCCACAACACCACAAUUCUUUUGAAAGCUUCUAUCGUGCGCGUAUAACCGACAAAACAGACUAAGUUCAAAUGACGCAAGUGUAAUAACAAAGAAUUCAAGUUUAAUAAGGAAACUUCUGCUUCAGACUGCUGAAAUGUCAUUCUUAAACUUGAGCAUGUCACCGUCUUUCAGUUUUCUUGAGUUCAACAACUGCAACGGAACCAAAGUGUUCCAACGGACUGCUACGACCGCCUAUAAAAAGUCUGAAGUCAUAAACUCGCUUUUUAACCUAAAACAAUGGAGAAUCAUGGUAAUAUUGGGUUUUGUUCGGAAACUCUUGUUCGCUUCAGUACUUCAACUUAACGCAACAUGUCGUGAACUGAACUUGCCUUCGUUCCGCAUUUUUUUUUAUAAACCCUUUUCUUCUACAAAAUCCCGACCGCUAUAAAGUCGGAUUCAGCGACCUACUGAUCGGCCGUUCAAAUAUAAACUUAAACACUCCUCAAGUAUUUACGUACAACCAUGUAUAUGUAUAGAUGCUAAUUUCUUUGCGAAUGUGAAUUGCAAAACAUUUCGCUUCCUUCUUGUUAUGUAUGACUGUGAAACCCGCUUGGUCCACUAUUGUUUGUGGUGCGGCGAAGUCGUGCGGGAAAGUUUGUCGACCAGGGCAAAAGUUGCUUGGGAUUAAGCUUUUGGAUUGUGGUGUUGACGGUUGAACUCAAUCAACGAAGGGCAGACGAUAAAAGCGAGAUUGCUCGUCUUCGAUUUGUGCUUAACAGAACCAAGAAUUUACAGAAGAAGUCAAGCAAGACAACGUCGACGCCCUUUAAGUUUUAUACAGUUAACCCUUUACGUCCUACGUUUAGCAUUUAAAUUCUCUCAACUGUACCUAUAGAUUUUCUUUCAUUUCUACUUGAUGUAUUUAGUUGUUAAUCAAUGCUAUUUUCUAGGGAUGAUCAGCUCCCUCUUUCUCAUGUCCCACUGCUUAAAUGUGUUGUAGAACGGUGCGAAGAAAACAGAAUUCGAUCGCUACUCAGGUUAAAAGGAUUAGGAUGUUUUAAGGUCGCCUUCUUAGUGUUUCUAACAUGACUAAACUUACAAAGUGCCUAGCUCCCAGUUGGCUUGAUAGUUGAGUUGGUUGAGCACUGCACCGGUAUCGCUGAGGUCAUGCUUCGUGACUAAACAGUGUUUGCAUCAGCUAGAAAAGUUUAUUAAAAAGACUUCAAUGGAAGAUAAGCAAGAGAAAACGUAAAGCCUAAAUUUAACGUAGGUUUUACUCAGUCCUUGCUUGUUGUUUCGCAGCAUUAUUAUUUGACAGUUACUUUUUGGGCCGUUUGGCGGGUUAACCCUAUUGAAACCCUCGUGUGGCGCUUAUGCACAAACCUUUUUUUUUAAACAUAUAUAUUUUCAGCUUUGCUAGUAACGGGAGAUGUCACGUUUCAAAAGUUAAUUAUAAUACCACCAGUUUGACAGUUUUUGUUUUAAUUCUUCGAGUUGUUGACAGAAAGACGGCAAUAUUUAUAAGUGUCAGAGAUAAAAUCUAGCGGUUAUUGCUGGUGUUACUUUUUUUUGGUUCUGUCAGAGAGGUGAACUCGCCAUUUUCUCGCUUUACAGGCGUGUAGUAAUUAUCUUAUGGCCAUGGACCAAGGAAGUUUGAAUUUAAAAAGCGUCUUCUAUGUUUUUUUUUUUUAACCUCAUUUUCACGAAUUUGCAACAUCAUACGAUUUUUUUCUCAUGUAGAAUUUUGUCUACAAAUAUUGAAUCAAGAUAGUUGGCGGUUUUCAUCGUUAUCUCCAGUUCUUCACAAGAACAUAUGCCUACUUUGUUUUCUGCUCAUAUCAUAACUCAUAACUCAUAUCUCAUUGGUAAUUCAGCUACUUAUACUUAUGUUUGCAUAUGUUGCUAAGUAAAUACAUAACGGUUUCUAUUUCUUAACUAGUUUGUUGAUCCUUUCUUCUCUUAACAAGAUUCGGUGUGGUAUAAUUGCCAUUUGCAACAGUUUAAUUUUCACUCUUUACAGCAUUGUUUUAAAAAACCAUUUUAAUGCCAUCUGCCUUCGCGGGCGUUAGUAAUUUAACGUUAGCGUGUAAAUUCUUCCCCAUUUGUUAUAGCAUUGUUGAAACGUUCUGAAAUGGUUUCUUUCUUUCGUUGUAAGGCAGUUUUUAAAGUAUUUUUGUUUUACCUACUUCAAUUAGUAAAGCGACUUCAACUUUGUUUUACUGAA